GCCUGUUCUAUAAGAAUAACCCACAAUUGGGCCAGCCCAACUACCCAGAUUUCUAUUUUGAGCAUAACACGGUCCAACCGUGACAAUUCCAUUCCUCUUCUCCUCGGUAUCAUUGUCUCUUAUGGAUUGAAGUCGGGAAAUUAUGACCAGAGAAAUGUGUAAUCUUCCCAAGUUGCCUCUUCCUUACCCAGAUUUGCCCAUUCAACUAGAACUUAAGUCACCCCUUGAUUUCCCUUUUUUACUAGUUUCCUCUCCAAGAUCGCCACUGGUUCAGCCAAGAUUUGUCCAUCAUCCUUGCAAUAUGGGGGUUCUCUGGACGGAACCACUUUGUCCCAUAUCUUCUUCUUCAAUUGUGACGCAUGAAACAUGGGGUGGAUCUUCGAGCUUUGGGGGAGCUUCAGUUCAUAUGCGACGACCCUAAUUUUAUGAAUUACUUCGUAAGGCCCAUAGUACUUGGUAGAGAGCUUGAGAUUCCUCCGAACUGCUACUGACAUUUGACUGUAUGGUUGCAAUUUAAAACCUUAUUGAUUAACUGCCUUUUCUUCAGUUCCUGAUCAACUAACUCUAAUUUGGACUGGGAAAUGAGUUCGAAAGAUGGUUGUGGUGGCUCAUACCCAUAUAAGGCCUUGAAGGUGGUCAUUCCUAUAGCAGAUUGGUAAUUGCAAUUAUACCAAAAUUCUUCCAUAGGAAUCCAUUUACUCCAAUCUUUGGGUUUAUGGCCAUUCAUACACCUUAGGUACGAUUCGAUGCCUUUGAUUGAGUCUCUCCGAUUGUCCAUCCGUCUGGGGACAGUAAGCAGAGCUUAAUUUCCAUUCUACUUACAACCCCUUGAAUAAUUAUUUCCAAAAUGUACUUGUAAAUAUCAGGUCUCUAUCUGAAAGAACUGAACUUGGAACGCCAUGUAGCUUGCAAACAUUAUCUAGGAACAGUUGAGCAACUUGAUUUGCAUUAUAGGGGUGCGUUAGGGUAAA